rnacentral:rRNA from 1 species
GUGCAGCAGUCGCGAAACUUCACACUGUGCGAAAGCACGAUGAGGGAAUCCCAAGUGCUUGCACGUAAGUGUAAGCUGUUUCUCUGUUUAAAACGCAGAGAGAGUAAGGGCUGGGUAAGACGGGUGCCAGCCGCCGCGGUAAUACCUGCAGCUCAAGUGGUGACCGUUAUUAUUGGGCCUAAAACGUCCGUAGCCGGUUUAAUAAAUGCCUGGGUAAAUCGUGUAGCUUAACUAUACGAAUUCCGGGUAGACUGUUAAACUCGAGACCGGGAGAAGUUAGAGGUACUCCUGGGGUAGAGGUGAAAUUCUGUAAUCCUAGGGGGACCACCAGUGGCGAAGGCGUCUAACUAGAACGGGUCUGACGGUGAGGGACGAAGCCCUGGGGCGCAAACGGGAUUAGAUACCCCCGUAGUU